rnacentral:rRNA from 1 species
UACAAAAAGUGCAAGCGUUAAUCGGAAUUACUAAGCGUAAAGCGCGCGUAGGCGGCUGUCUAAGUCGGAUAUGAAAGCCCCAAGCUCAACCUGGGAACUGCAUUCGAUACUGAACGGCUAGAGUAUGAAAGAAAGAGGUAGAAUUCCACGUGUAGCGAUGAAAUGCAUAGAUAUAUGGAAGAAUACCGAUGACGAAAACGGCCUCCUAGUUCAAUACUGACGCUGAGAUGCGAAAGCGUGAAAAGCAAACAAG